AGUCGAGGGGUAGAGUUAGCUUGCUAACUUGAGACCGGCGCACGGGUGCGUAACGCGUAUGCAAUCUACCUUGUAGAGGGGGAUAGCCCAGAGAAAUUUGGAUUAAUACCCCAUAGUAUAAUAGAGUGGCAUCAUUUUAUUAUUAAAGUUCCAACGCUACAAGAUGAGCAUGCGUCCCAUUAGUUAGUUGGUGUGGUAACGGCGCACCAAGACGAUGAUGGGUAGGGGUCCUGAGAGGGAGAUCCCCCACACUGGUACUGAGACACGGACCAGACUCCUACGGGAGGCAGCAGUGAGGAAUAUUGGUCAAUGGACGCAAGUCUGAACCAGCCAUGCCGCGUGCAGGAAGAAGGCUCUAUGGGUUGUAAACUGCUUUUGUACGGGAAGAAAUUAUCCCUCGUGAGGGAGCUUGACGGUACCGUAAGAAUAAGGAUCGGCUAACUCCGUGCCAGCAGCCGCGGUAAUACGGAGGAUCCAAGCGUUAUCCGGAAUCAUUGGGUUUAAAGGGUUCGUAGGCGGUUUUGUAAGUCAGUGGUGAAAGUUUGCAGCUUAACUGUAAAAUUGCCAUUGAUACUGCAAGACUUGAAUGUUUGUGAAGUGGCUAGAAUAUGUAGUGUAGCGGUGAAAUGCUUAGAUAUUACAUGGAAUACCAAUUGCGAAGGCAGGUCACUAACAAAUGAUUGACGCUGAUGGA
rnacentral:rRNA from 1 species